rnacentral:misc_RNA from 1 species
CUCUUUUUUUCUCUGCCUUUUCUUUCUUUCCCCUACACCCUUGCCUCCUCCCUCCCUCUCCUGUCCUCUCUCGCGCCCCACUCCCACUCCCCCUCCACAAAUGCGCCAUUCUUUAUGUAACGGGUGGCACAGGGGGUGCUUCGAGAAACGAGGGGAAGAGGAAAGGGUCGGCAGUCGUGGGCGCACGCGUGUUGGCCGUCCCUGUAUCGGUGAAAGUAUUUUUUUUUGACUAAUCUGAAGGUGCAUAUAGUUGCUUUUCCUUCCGUGUGUGUGGUUAGGGGAACCGGCUUCGUCAUUUUUUCUUCAGCGGGCAAAUACAGAAGCGCGCGACGCGACGAGCGGGGGCCUCCUCCAUUCCUGGGCAGCGGUAGCGUGGGCGUGGAGCCGUGGAGCGCCGCCUUGUGUGGUUUCCACAGAGCAGGGAUUGAGGCGGACACAUGUGGUCGCUACAGACGCAGAGAGAGAAAAACUCUUCAUGGGCGGCCUCUGCGACAAAGUCGGUACUCGGCAAAGACAUGAUUGACCAGUUUUUCGUUGGGCUAACACCCUCUCCACCUGCUCGCUGUCAUUUUUGCUUGGCCACCUCUCCCCUCCUUCUCUCCGUCAUUCACUCUAUGCCUGCCUGUUGCUGUGCGUUACCUCGUGUGUCGCCGCAUAG